GAUGAACGCUAGCUACAGGCUUAACACAUGCAAGUCGAGGGACCGGCGCACGGGUGAGUCACACGUAUCCAACCUGCCCUUUACUCGGGGAUAGCCUUUCGAAAGCAAGAUUAAUACCCGAUGUAAAGGAUGGGGAUGCGUUGCAUUAGGUUGUUGGUGAGGUAACGGCUCGCCAAGCAUUCGAUGGAUAGGGGUUCUGAUAGGAAGGUCCCCCACAUUGGAACUGAGACACGGUCCAAACUCGUACGGGAGGCAGCAGUGAGGAAUAUUGGUCAAUGGGCGUUAGCCUGAACCAGCCAAGUAGCGUGAAGGAUGAAGGCUUAUGGGUCGUAAACUUCUGUUAUAUAAGAAUAUGUAUUAUAUGAAUAAGGAUCGGCUAACUCCGUGCCAGCCGCCGCGGUAAUUC
rnacentral:rRNA from 1 species